GACGAACGCUGGCGGCGUGCUUAACACAUGCAAGUCGAACGGAAAGGCCCCUUUGGGGGUACUCGAUUGGCGAACGGGUGAGUAACACGUGAGUAACCUGCCCUUGACUUCGGGAUAACUUCAGGAAACUGGGGCUAAUACCGGAUAGGAAUCCUUGCUGCAUGGUGGGGGUUGGAAAGCUUCGGCGGUUUUGGAUGGACUCGCGGCUUAUCAGCUUGUUGGUGGGGUAGUGGCUUACCAAGGCUUUGACGGGUAGCCGGCCUGAGAGGGCGACCGGCCACAUUGGGACUGAGAUACGGCCCAGACUCCUACGGGAGGCAGCAGUGGGGAAUAUUGCACAAUGGGCGGAAGCCUGAUGCAGCAACGCCGCGUGCGGGAUGACGGCCUUCGGGUUGUAAACCGCUUUCAGCAGGGGCGAAGCUUGUGGUGACGGUACCUGCAGAAGAAGCACCGGCUAACUACGUG
rnacentral:rRNA from 1 species